AUACGUAGGAUGCAAGCGUUGUCCGGAUUUACUGGGUGUAAAGGGUGCGCAGGCGGGCUUGUAAGUCAGAGGUGAAAGCCCGGAGCUUAACUCCGGAAAUGCCUUUGAUACUGCAAGUCUUGAAUCUGAUAGAGGCUCGUGGAAUAUGUGGUGUAGCGGUGAAAUGCGUAGAUAUCACAUAGAACACCAGUGGCGAAGGCGGUGAGCUGGGUCAGUAUUGACGCUCAUGCACGAAAGUGUGGGUAGC
rnacentral:rRNA from 1 species